GGGCGGGGCUUGCCUGGAGCCCGGGCUGUCAACAAGCCUGCUGGUGACAUAUGGAGCCCCCAGGCCAGGGAUGAGAUGUGAGCCCAGCAGGCUCGACCUAAGCUGCAGCUGUAGCAAUGCUGGAUCCUUAACCAACUGUGCUGGGCUGGGAAUUGAACCUGCAUCCCAGUGCUCCCAAGAUGCCACCAAUCCCAUUGUACCACAGCGGGAACUGCUAUGAUAUUGUGACUUACAACGACAACAACUACGUGUUUGAUCUGUGUCCGUGUUCCUGGCACAGAGCUCCUAAAACCCUUGGAAUUCCUACACAAGAGGGAGAAAGCUGAAAGGAGCAUCGCAUUCCUAACAAGCCCUUUCCGCAGUGCUCAAGCUCGUCCUUAAGGAUGGGGGCUGGUUGUCAGGGGAACCAACCAAAGGAUUAGAGGAUUGGACCAUUCAGGCCCCGCCCAAAGUCUGAGGAGGGGACAGGGGCUGUCAAUUUAGUUUAACCGUCAGUGGCUAAUCACUUAAUCAGUCAUGUCUACAUAACAAAGCCUCCAUAAAAGCCUUGGUUCUAGAGAUUCCAUCCAGGUUGGUGACUAGUGGAGGAGCUGGGGGAGGGGUGCCCCCCUCCCUCUCCCCUCGCCUUGUGCAUCUCUUCCAUCUGACUGUUCCCGAGUUGUGUCAUUUCCUAACAAGGCUGUAACCUAGUGGGAAAACUCUGAGUUUCUGGGAGCUGUUCUAGCAAAUUACUGAACACUAGGGGGUCAAGGGAAUGCCUCAUAUAUAGCUGUUCAGUCAGAAGUACCAGAGGCUUGGAUCAGAAGUGGGAGGAGUCUUGGCAUUCCCAUCCUGGCUCAGUGGUUAACGAACCCCACUAGUAUCCACGAGGAUACGGGUUCGAUCCCUGGCCUCGAUCAGUGGGUUAAGGAUCUAGCGUUGCCAAUGAGCUGUGGUGUAGAUUGCAGACCAGGCUCAGAUCUGGUGUUGCUGUGGCUGUGGUGUAGGCCAGCAGCUACAGCUCUGAUUCGCCUAGGAACUUCCAUAUGCCACGGGUGCAGCCCUAAUUAGACAAGACACACACACACAAAAGUGGGAGGAGUCUUGGACUGAGCCCUCACCCUGUUGACAGGUUCCCAGGAGGACGGAGACAGACCGCCCCGCCCCCCAAAUGUGGCUGUUGACCUUGGAGACGGGCUGUGGCCACCCUCUCCUGGAGUGCGGAGGCUCAAGUUGGGCAGCAAGAAACAAUGGAAACAGCGGAAACCAACUGCCUUCGUAGGCUAACCUCCUACAAGGAUGAACUGCCCUCUGUCCUGGGACUCGACCCCUACCUCCACCCCCAACCACCACGAAUUCCCGCAAUGAACUCCAUCUAGCCCCAGACCCUUUAUAAGCCCAGCACAGUCAGAGUUGGCACCACAAUCAGAGAUGGCACUAUCUCCAGCUCAGCCCGUGACCCUCGGAGGCUUUCAUAAAUCUCUUCUGCUUUAUGAACGUGGCCGUGCAUGUUCUUCCCUCGGCAAACCUAACACCUGAGAUCCAAUGCGAACUGCAGCGGGAUGGCGUCAGAACUGAAUCGUAGGAAACCCAGCUGGCGUCAGAGAAUUGGUCUGUGUGGGAAAAAAACCAUACACAUCCACUGUCAGAAGUUACUUGACUGCACCGGUGGCACAUGUAGGCUAGGGGUCAGAGCUACAGUUACCGGCCUACACCUCAGCUCACGGCAACGCUGGAUCCUUAACCCACUGAGCGAGGCCAGGGAUUAAACCCACAACCUCAUGGUUCCUAGGGGGAUUCGUUUCCGCUGAGCCAAGAUGGAAACUCCAGGGAAUAUAUUUAAACAAAAACAAAAACAAAAACAAAAAAAAAAAAGGAAGAGGAAGAAGGAAGGGCGGGAGUAACAGCAACCCAGCAGCGUGGGGUUUGUCCUCUGAAGACACAGAACUCGAGGUAAUCACCACUGCCCAGGAGUCUGCCGAGACCUUCUUUGCUAAGCUCUGGAGCCCAGCAGGACUGUCCACUGUUUUUGCUGCCCCAAGAAAAAGAUCUGUUGGCUCUGCCACCAGAUGUCCUGAGACUGGGCCUGGGACUCUGCUGAGACAGGCCUGGCGGCAGCCAAGUCACAAAGAGGAAUGCUGUGGCCUCGCACCCGUGAGGCUUUUCUAGACACUUAGUGGCGUGAGUCCUCAGCAAUGUGACCGAGGCAGAGGAAGAGAUGCAGACACUUUGGAACCUUUCAACGGGCAAAUGCGAAGGCACGUGCUCCCUUUAAAGACCACAUUCAAAAGGACUUCUGCCAACAGUGUGAAGAGUACAGGGUUGUUUCAGGAACUUGUGUUCUGCGUGACUUCUCCUGCAGGUGCACAACCACAGCCCCAUGUGGCC
rnacentral:lncRNA from 1 species